UUUAUGGCUCAUGAUGAACGCUAGCUACAGGCCUAACACAUGCAAGUCGAGGGGCAGCAUGGCGGUCGCUUGCGACCGCUGAUGGCGACCGGCGAAUGGGUGAGUAACGCGUAUCCAACCUGCCCCGCGCCCGGGGAUAGCCCUUGGAAAUGAGGAUUAAGACCCGAUACGUGGCGCCGCCGCAUGGCGGCUCCAUGAAACAGACGCGGGAUGGGGAUGCGUUGGAUUAGCCAGCCGGCAGGGCAGCGGCCUACCGGGGCGACGAUCCAUAGGGGUUCUGAGAGGAAGGUCCCCCACACUGGCACUGAGACACGGGCCAGACUCCUACGGGAGGCAGCAGUGAGGAAUAUUGGUCAAUGGGCGAGAGCCUGAACCAGCCAAGUAGCGUGCAGGAUGACGGCCCUAUGGGUUGUAAACUGCUUUUGCGGGAGAAUAACCGGCGCCACGCGUGGCGCCCUGCAUGUAUCCCGCGAAUAAGGACCGGCUAAUUCCGUGCCAGCAGCCGCGGUAAUACGGAAGGUCCGGGCGUUAUCCGGAUUUAUUGGGUUUAAAGGGAGCGCAGGCGGAGGAUCAAGCCAGCCGUGAAAUGGCGGCGCUCAACGCCGUCCGGCGGUUGGAACUGGUCCCCUUGAUUGCGGGAGAGGAAGGCGGAACUCGUGGUGUAGCGGUGAAAUGCAUAGAUAUCACGAAGAACCCCGAUUGCGAAGGCAGCCUUCCGGCCCGUUAAUGACGCUCAUGCUCGAAGGCGCGGGUAUCGAACAGGAUUAGAUACCCUGGUAGUCCGCGCGGUAAACGAUGAAUGCUCGGGAUUCGGCCGUUAUGGCUGAGUCCCCCAGCGAAAGCGUUAAGCAUUCCACCUGGGGAGUACGCCGGCAACGGUGCAACUCAAAGGAAUUGACGGA
rnacentral:rRNA from 1 species